GAGCGGUAACAGGCGUAGCAAUACGUGCUGACGAGCGGCAAACGGGUGAGUAACGCUUCGGAAUCUGCCCAAUGGUGGGGAAUAACCAGCCGAAAGGUUGGCUAAUACCGCAUGAGCCCUUCGGGGGAAAGCGGGGGAUCGCAAGACCUCGCGCCGAUGGAUGAGCCGAAGCCGGAUUAGCUAGUUGGUGGGGUAACGGCCUACCAAGGCGACGAUCCGUAGCUGGUCUGAGAGGACGACCAGCCACACUGGGACUGAGACACGGCCCAGACUCCUACGGGAGGCAGCAGUGGGGAAUAUUGGACAAUGGGGGAAACCCUGAUCCAGCGACGCCGCGUGUGUGAAGAAGGCCUGCGGGUUGUAAAGCACUUUUAGUGGGGAUGAAAAGCUCAGGGCUAACACCUCUGGGUCUUGACCUAACCCACAGAAAAAGCACCGGCUAACUCUGUGCCAGCAGCCGCGGUAAUACAGAGGGUGCAAGCGUUAAUCGGAAUUACUGGGCGUAAAGCGUACGUAGACGGUUGGAUAAGUCGGAUGUGAAAGCCCCGGGCUCAACCUGGGAAUGGCAUUCGAGACUGUGCAGCUAGGGUGCGGGAGAGGGAAGCGGAAUUUCCGGUGUAGCGGUGAAAUGCGUAGAUAUCGGAAGGAACACCAGUGGCGAAAGCGGCUUCCUGGUCCAGCACCGACGUUCAGGUACGAAAGCAUGGGGA
rnacentral:rRNA from 1 species